rfam:Sus scrofa chromosome 17.
UCCCUGGUGGCCUAGCAGGUUAAGGAUCUGGCAUUGUCACUGCUGUGGUGUGGGUUUGAUCCCACGCCUGGGAA